rnacentral:lncRNA from 1 species
CAAACUCAGAGCAUUCCGCCGAUCCACCACCGCCGCCGCCAACACCACACCUCGAGAGUCCUCGCCGCCGGAGAAGCAGGCAAGCGAGAUGGCCGGGAGGAAGGGCGGCGAGAGGAAGAAGUCGGUGACCCGGUCCGUGAAGGCCGGGCUCCAGUUCCCCGUCGGCCGCAUCGGGCGCUUCCUCAAGAAGGGCCGCUACGCGCAGCGCGUCGGCUCCGGCGCCCCCGUCUACCUCGCCGCCGUCCUCGAGUACCUCGCCGCCGAGGUAACCACAGAUCUUCGCUGUCCUUGAGCGUCUGUUCUGCUCUGUUCUUCUUGUGUUGGACAGGUAACCGAUCUCGUUCUUGGUUGAUGAAUCGCAGGUCCUGGAGCUGGCCGGCAACGCGGCCAAGGACAACAAGAAGACCCGCAUCGUGCCGCGGCACCUGCUGCUGGCCGUCCGCAACGACCAGGAGCUCGGCAGGCUGCUCGCCGGCGUCACCAUCGCCCACGGCGGCGUGAUCCCCAACAUCAACCCCGUGCUGCUCCCCAAGAAGUCCGCCGCCGCCGCCGAGAAGGAGGCCACCAAGUCGCCCAAGAAGAAGGCCGCCGCCAAGUCCCCCAAGAAGAAGCCCGCCGCCGCCAAGGAGUAGCCUGGCCUACUACGCCGAGGGACCGUGUCGUGUUGCCUAGUUCCAUGUCUUUUGGUUAGCUGGAUCUUGUAUGUAGCGCCUGGUCUGGAGUUGCAAGCUGGUAGUAGUCUGUAGUGUAGUGGCCCUUUCAUCAGAUCUCGAUGAGCAAGGCUGGCAUGGCAUUGUGUCUGUGAUUUACUUUCUGGGAAUGGCUAAAGAAAGAUGCAAUCCUUUCAAUCUUAAUAAUUCUCUUGUGGAUCAAUGGCUGAAAUCAAUCUUAUGAAUCUUUGUCAUCUGUCUUUGCCUUGGAAACAUUUGGUGUGGAUCUGAAAAUUGCCCCAUGUGUUCUUGGCCUAGUGAAGCAUGGUCCUCAACUUCAGCCAGUCAUGUUAAACUUCUUAUCCUAAAUGUUAUCUUUCAGUUCUCAGUUAAUUAUCGCCCUAUUAACAGGGCCAACGUGUUGAUGCCGAUUGUGUUUCCUUCAAGCAGCAGGACCUGAAAGAAUCAAAAUCGGAGGCCAAUUGUGUUUCCAU